GACGAACGCUGGCGGCGUGCCUAAUACAUGCAAGUUGAGCGCUGAAGGUUGGUACUUGUACCAACUGGAUGAGCAGCGAACGGGUGAGUACCGCGUGGGGAAUCUGCCUUUGAGCGGGGGACAACAUUUGGAAACGAAUGCUAAUACCGCAUAAAAACUUUAAACACAAGUUUUAAGUUUGAAAGAUGCAAUUGCAUCACUCAAAGAUGAUCCCGCGUUGUAUUAGCUAGUUGGUGGGGUAAAGGCUCACCAAGGCGAUGAUACAUAGCCGACCUGGGAGGGGGAUAGGCGACAUUGGGACGGGACCAGGGCCAAAACUCCUACGGGAGGCAGCAGUAGGGAAUCUGCGGCAAUGGACGAAAGUCUGACCGAGCAACGCCGAGUGAGUGAAGAAGGUGUUCGGAUAGGAAAACUCUGUUGGUAGAGAAGAACGUUGGUGAGAGGGGAAAGAGCAUCAAGGGACGGUAACGACCCAGAAAGGGAGGGCUAACUACGU
rnacentral:rRNA from 1 species